rnacentral:rRNA from 1 species
UACGUAGGGACCAAGCGUUGUUCGGAUUUACUGGGCGUAAAGGGCGCGUAGGCGGCGCGGUAAGUCACUUGUGAAAUCUCUGAGCUUAACUCAGAACGGCCAAGUGAUACUGCAGUGCUAGAGUGUGGAAGGGGCAAUCGGAAUUCUUGGUGUAGCGGUGAAAUGCGUAGAUAGCAAGAGGAACACCUGAGGUGAAGACGGGUUGCUGGGCCAACACUGACGCUGAGGCGCGAAAGCCAGGGGAGCAAACGGG